rnacentral:rRNA from 1 species
CCUACGGGUGGCAGCAGUGGGGAAUAUUGCACAAUGGGCGCAAGCCUGAUGCAGCCAUGCCGCGUGUGUGAAGAAGGCCUUCGGGUUGUAAAGCACUUUCAGUCGUGAGGAAGGCGGCGUCGUUAAUAGCGGCGUUGUUUGACGUUAGCGACAGAAGAAGCACCGGCUAACUCCGUGCCAGCAGCCGCGGUAAUACGGAGGGUGCGAGCGUUAAUCGGAAUUACUGGGCGUAAAGCGCAUGCAGGUGGUUUGUUAAGUCAGAUGUGAAAGCCCGGGGCUCAACCUCGGAAUAUCAUUUGAAACUGGCAAACUAGAGUCUUGUAGAGGGGAGUAGAAUUCCAGGUGUAGCGGUGAAAUGCGUAGAGAUCUGGAGGAACACCAGUGGCGAAGGCGACCCCCUGGAAAAAGACUGACGCUCAGAUGCGAAAGCGUGGGUAGCGAACAGGAUUAGAUACCCGUGUAGUC